GUGUCCUUGAGCAAGACACUUUAUUUCACAUUACUCCAGCCCACUCAGCUGGCUAAAAUCAGUUGUACCUGUAUUUCAAAGGGUCAGCCUCAUCACAUUCUGUGCCAUGCUGGAUCUCCCUCAGAUCUACGUUAAGGAAAUGAGUGGCUGUG